GCUUGUCUCAAAGAUUAAGCCAUGCAUGUCUAAGUAUAAGCACCCUUAUACUGCGAAACUGCGUACAGCUCAUUAUAUCAGCAAUUAUUUAUUUGAAGGUCACCUAUUACAUGGAUAACCGUGGUAAUUCUAGAGCUAAUACAUGCGAAAAGUCGGCGCAAGUCGAUGUAUUUAUUAGAUACAGAAUCAAUACGUGUUCUGCACGUUCUAUUGAUGAAUCAUAAUAACUGUUCGAAUCGCACGGGCAACCGGCGAUAGUUCAUUCAAAUUUCUUCCCUAUCAACUUUCGAUGUUUGGGUAUUGGCCAAACAUGGUUGCAACGGGUAACGGAGGGUUAGGGCUCGACCCCGGAGAAGGAGCCUGAGAAACGGCUACUACAUCCAAGGAAGGCAGCAGG
rnacentral:rRNA from 1 species